rnacentral:rRNA from 1 species
UAGGGAAUCUUCGGCAAUGGGGGCAACCCUGACCGAGCAACGCCGCGUGAGCGAAGAAGGUUUUCGGAUCGUAAAGCUCUGUUGUAAGAGAAGAACGUGUGUGAGAGUGGAAAGUUCACACAGUGACGGUAACUUACCAGAAAGGGACGGCUAACUACGUGCCAGCAGCCGCGGUAAUACGUAGGUCCCGAGCGUUGUCCGGAUUUAUUGGGCGUAAAGCGAGCGCAGGCGGUUUAAUAAGUCUGAAGUUAAAGGCAGUGGCUUAACCAUUGUUCGCUUUGGAAACUGUUAAACUUGAGUGCAGAAGGGGAGAGUGGAAUUCCAUGUGUAGCGGUGAAAUGCGUAGAUAUAUGGAGGAACACCGGUGGCGAAAGCGGCUCUCUGGUCUGUAACUGACGCUGAGGCUCGAAAGCGUGGGGAGCAAACAGG